GCUAGCCACGAUCCUUUCGUCGCACUGACGACGUAUAACUUUCCAUACGAAAGAAAAAGGACUAUUUAUACGACACGAGGGAAUAUAAACACGAAAACGAUAAAAAUAAAAGUAGAAAUUAGAGAUAAAAUAAGAUUAAUAGAAAAAUAAAAGAAAAAAAUAAUUUAUUGACUAUUAGGAUAUAAUAUGCAAGUCUCGUAUAGAGGCUAGUGCAGUUUAGGCUGUGUUUUCUUGGUCCUCUCGAAUUACACCGAACGUGUGCGAGAGUAAAGGGAGAAGAGGGAGAGAGAGAAAGAGAGAGAGAGAGAGAGAGAGAGAAAGAGAGAGAGAGAGAACAGUGACGACCUCGAUCCAGUACACCCCCACAACCAUCUCUUUCGCAUCCCCCCGCGGUUCCACUCGACUUCUAUUUCUCUCUCUCUCUCAUGCUUGCGCGCGCGUGUUCCCACCAGGCACUCUCCUCCUCGUCGCUCCAGCGUGCGCGGCGCUCGACCCUCGGAAAUUCUGAAAGCGGUUCGCGCCUGUGCAACGCGGGGGUGGCGGGGACCGAAAAUUGAGGCUAAAGGAAACUCGACGGAUCCAGCCUAAGGGUCUCUCCUCUCUCUUAGGGUUUCUACUUGCCGCCGCCGCCGUUGUCGUUGUCAUCGUCACUGUCACCGUCACACUGUCACCGUCACCGUCAUCCUUAUUGUUGUCGUCGCUGUUACUGUCGUUGUUGUCGUUGUCGUUGUCGUCGUUGUCGUCAUUUUAACCGUCAUCGUCAUCGGUUUCGUCGUUGUUCUCGUCGUUAUUGAAAUUUGGCCGCGUGCGUACGUGCAUGCGUGCGUGGCUACGUGCGCGCGUUCUCGCUUUUUUUCUCUUUCGUCGUCCUAUUUCUUUUUUUUCGCUGCAAUAAAAGUGGAUAUCUUACAUCAACAGUAGGAUUAUCGAUGCUUUUGGAUUUAGGGAGAAGAAUUUAACUUGGUGAUUGUACUUUCUUGCUUUUAUUUUCCUUGGUUUUUUCUCUCGAGGAAAGAAGAAAGAUGCAAAGGAAAAGGUAAAGAGUGCAGGGGUGACAUCGACGACACGAGCUACCACCGUCGCUGUUACAUUAUCAUCUCGAAGAGCUGACACGGUUUACUUUGAGGAUGUUCACCGACGAAAAGUCUUUAUAAUAUAAUACGGCGGAAAGAGAGUGAAACAAUACAAAGAGAAACAGAAAGAGAAAGAAAGAGAGAUAGUUGGAGAGUGAGAGGAAGAAAGUUAAACUGGAAGUAAGAGACAAAAAGAGAUAAAUUUAAAAAAAAGCUACGAUAUAGAGAAUAAACUGAGUGGUGUAGUACGUUUUCGGGGUACGUGCGCUAGCCGUGGCCGCGAGUGCAGCGGUGUGACGUGACAGUGUACCUGAAGCAGUGAUCGAGGAAGGUCGUGCGUCCUGCGUCUCUUUAAGAGUUUCCUCGAAAGGAUAUCUACGUUUAAGGAUACUCAAGGAACCUUCGAUAACGUAUCUUCGUUGUGUCCGAGUCAAAAAUCAAGUUAGUUCGUUUUUCUUUGUGUGUAUAUCAUAUGAAAACAAAAGAGAACAGGAUCAUCGACGAUCCUGGACAAAGGCGAUGAUCGUCAUGUGUUCUCGACCGCAGCCCUCGGUUGAGGGUUGAAACAACGAACUCGAUAUUGCGAUAUUUUUGUUCUUUUUACUAUCGUGCGUGUGCGCGCGCGCCCACAACAGUGUGUCGGUUGUCGUCGUGGGAAUCAAAAAGGGAGUUCGACGAUAACUUUUUCUUUUCACGACAACGAACUGGUCCCCCUCAGGAGGACCGACCGUGUACCACGUCAUCGAGCUCAAAGAGAACUCGGAACCUCGCAAGAAUGCGGGACCGGCUAUCGUGGUACAUGGUCUUCUUGAUCCUGCCGACAAUUCUCCUGGCCAGGUCGCUCGACAAAGGUCUUUUCAUUUCAGAUCGGCGUAUACCUUACAACAUACCGUCAGACUGGCGAGCACUGUGGUUGAGCAAUUUAGAUGAACUACAAAGAAUCAACGAUGCGAACGACAACAACACUGUAUCGAACGUCACAGUACAAUUGGGUGGCACGGCUUUCUUGCACUGCAAAGUUCGCAAUUCGGCAGACAGAACCGUCUCGGAUGCCGAGAUCUCGUGGAUUCGUCGUCGAGACUUUCACGUUUUAACGAGCUCGACGUCAACUUACACGAACGACGAGCGGUUUCAAGUGUUACACGCCGAAGGUUCGGACGAUUGGACUCUUCAAAUCAAAUACGUCCAAGAAAGAGACAAUGGGACCUACGAGUGUCAGGUCUCGAGGAGAACAGGGAUACUGUCACACUUCGUCAAUCUAAACAUAGUGAUACCAGAGGCAUUUAUAUUAGGGAGCGACGAGCAUCAUGUCGACGUGGGGUCUAUCAUAAAUCUCGUAUGCAUAAUAGAAAAGAGCCCUACGCCACCGCAAUACGUAUUCUGGUAUCACAAUAACCGGAUGAUAAACUACGACACCUCGCGGGGCAGCGUCACCGUACAAACCGAUCCAGGACCAACCCAGAGUCGACUGACGAUACGCCAGGCCGUGGAAUCGGACUCCGGCAAUUACACGUGUAACGCGUCCAAUACCAAGCCUGCAUCCAUCUAUGUCUUCGUUACCGAGGGUGACAAAAUGGCGGCGAUUCAGCGUCGCAAAACGUCGGCCGCAAGGAGGAUCCUGAACGAAAUGCUGCUGACGACUAUGCUCGUGACCAGUCUCCUUCUGGCACGAUAAACGAUUUCACUUCAAAAUGUCCAUAAUUAUUUAAAUCCGUACGACUACUUCCAUUCGCGAUAGAUCGCCGUCGGUCGGGUCUAAUCGGAUAUAUAUGCGAGAAAGAUUUUCGUGGAAGAUUAUUCGAUUGCCUGCCAGGAGUCAUUACGUGCGAGACCGGCACGCGACUCGAAUUAUGUAAAUAAAAAUACGCGUUGGUAAUCGUAAUCGUUGCUCCACGACAAAGCCUACCACCACCACCAUCCCCCAAUAGAAGCAAGCUCCGGAGACACGUCGAGAGAAUCGAAACGUCGUCGUCCGAAUAUGGAUAUUCAAACGCGACGUUCAAAAUCGCAUCGUUUAGUGGGAAAUAUUUCGUUAACCCUUUAACUAUCAAAAGACUUUUAUCACGAAAAAAAUACUCGCAAGAGAAAUACGCCAACUCAAUGAUUUCGAUAUUAACGAAACUUAUGUAAAGGAAUAAGAGUUAAGAAAAAAAAAAAAUCAUAGUGAAAAUUUAAUCAUUUCUUAAUCUUUAUUGAUUAUUAAAUAAUUAUUUUUGUUUCCAACGAUCGUCAAAAUGUAUUCCAAUCAAAAUCGAAAAUACCACUCUUCUCAACGGGUAAAUCAUCAAAAUUAUCAUCUUUUCGUAAAAAUGUUCUAACCGAUGGUCUGUCGACGAUAAGUCAACUUCCAAAGCGAUAUUACCCGCUGUCGAGCAUUAACGUAAGUUAUUGGUCCUCUUUGUCAUCGCUAGAUGGCAAUGCCGUUCAUAUCCUGUCCGUAUAUAAAAAUGGCGAAGACGGGGAAAAUUCAAAUACAUUUUAGCAAGAUGAAGAAAAUAAUUGUUUUAAAAUAAAAAAUAAAAUGUAAAGAAAGAAUGAAGAA